rnacentral:rRNA from 4 species
AACGGAUCUCUUGGUUCUGGCAUCGAUGAAGAACGCAGCAAAAUGCGAUAAGUAAUGUGAAUUGCAGAAUUCAGUGAAUCAUCGAAUCUUUGAACGCACAUUGC